rnacentral:rRNA from 1 species
CGUACACUCCUGCGGGAGGCAGCAGUGGGGAAUAUUGGACAAUGGGCGCAAGCCUGAUCCAGCCAUGCCGCGUGAGUGAUGAAGGCCCUAGGGUUGUAAAGCUCUUUCACCGGUGAAGAUAAUGACGGUAACCGGAGAAGAAGCCCCGGCUAACUUCGUGCCAGCAGCCGCGGUAAUACGAAGGGGGCUAGCGUUGUUCGGAUUUACUGGGCGUAAAGCGCACGUAGGCGGACUAUUAAGUCAGGGGUGAAAUCCCGGGGCUCAACCCCGGAACUGCCUUUGAUACUGGUAGUCUUGAGUUCGAGAGAGGUGAGUGGAAUUCCGAGUGUAGAGGUGAAAUUCGUAGAUAUUCGGAGGAACACCAGUGGCGAAGGCGGCUCACUGGCUCGAUACUGACGCUGAGGUGCGAAAGCGUGGGGGGCAAACAGGAUUAGAUACCCCUGUAGUCC